AACCCAUUGGAAUUUUUUGAUAAAAACCAAAAACCAUGUGAAAAGAAAUGGAAAAUCUGCAAACUGGAAUGAGCACCAAAACCGAAAAGCAGAUUUUUUUCGGCUAAAAACUGGAAACCAUGUUAAAAGAAAUGGAAAAUCUGCAAACUGGAAUGAGCACGAAAACCGAAAAGCAGAUUUUUUUUCGGCUAAAAACUGAAAACCAGUCUAAAAAAUAGCCAAAACUGCAAGACCAGAAAUCCCAAUGCCCCUCCUCAUUGUGAUUUGAACUUUUUAAAUCUCAUAGUUGCUGUUGAAGUUAGGCCUGUCCCCUAAGGUUUUAUAGCUGCUGAAUGUUCAGUGUGUUUCUAGUGGGUGUAAAUGGGUGCUUUAGAAAAGACUGAAUGUCUAAUGUGUUUCUAGUGGGUGUAACGGGUGCUUUAGAAAAGACUGAAUGUCUAAUGUGUUUCUAGUGGGUGUAAUGGGUACUUUAGAAAAGACUUACUCUGUCACUUCCACAACUCUGCAUGUUCAGCUUUACUCUUAUCUUUGCUAGUAAUUAAAAUUACAACUCAGUUGUGAAGUUACGUCCCUAACAUUGAUGAUGUUUUUUAGGAUAGACGACCCUCCACCUGUCUUUGAAACUUUCCCACGACAACAGAUGGCCUUUGAUUACCUCAAGACCUGUCAAGAGGUAGAAUGUUCAUGUGUUUGCCAAAGAGAAAGACUGUGACGGAAAACUUGGCUAUAUUGUCGCAACUUUACCAUAUUUUUGGUACAAAUACACAAGGUGUAAGAAAAGUGCAGGUCAUCUCAGAGGGAUGGGGUGCACAUCUCCUGCAUCCCUGCCCUGGAUCUCUCCCCUACAAGGCAUGGUAUAUUUAAAACUUCUGGCAGUGCAAAAGCUUGGUGGGAAGGGUAGGUGAAGCUGACCAAAGAAGAGUUCAACUGACCUUUAUACAGAUCCUAAAUUCAAAAUGACCAAAUAGCUUGAAAUGAAGAAAGUUGAUGCAAGUGCAAAAAAACAAACACACAAAUGAACAGACAAACAAAAACCUUAUUCUUUCCUUGUCAUUCCUGAUAUUUCUUUUUUGAACUUGGUAGGAUAUGUUCACCAGAGGACAGAAAUUAUUAUGAAGUUAUACCAGAAGGUACUCUUAAAUCUGUGUAUAAUUUAAUUGUUUAAUACAUAUUU